rnacentral:rRNA from 1 species
GAUGAACGCUGGCGGCGUGCCUAAUACAUGCAAGUCGAGCGAACAGACGAGGAGCUUGCUCCUCUGACGUUAGCGGCGUACGGGUGAGUAACACGUGGAUAACCUACCUAUAAGACUGGGAUAACUUCGGGAAACCGGAGCUAAUACCGGAUAAUAUAUUGAACCGCAUGGUUCAAUAGUGAAAGACGGUUUUGCUGUCACUUAUAGAUGGAUCCGCGCCGCAUUAGCUAGUUGGUAAGGUAACGGCUUACCAAGGCGACGAUGCGUAGCCGACCUGAGAGGGUGAUCGGCCACACUGGAACUGAGACACGGUACAGACUCCUACGGGAGGCAGCAGUAGGGAAUCUUACGCAAUGGGCGAAAGCAUGACGGAGCAACGCCGAGUGAGUGAUGAAGGUCUUCGGAUCGUAAAACUCUGUUAUUAGGGAAGAACAAAUGUGUAAGUAACUAUGCACGUCUUGACGGUACCUAAUCAGAAAGCCACGGCUAACUACGUG